rnacentral:rRNA from 1 species
GACGAACCGUGCGAACGUUGUUCGGAAUCACUGGGCUUAAAGGGCGCGUAGGCGGGCCGGCAAGUCUGUGGUGAAAGCCCCCAGCUCAACUGGGGAAGUGCCCGUGGAUACUGCCGGCCUCGAGGAGGUAGGGCGUGUGGAACUUCCGGUGGAGCGGUGAAAUGCGUAGAUAUCGGAGGAACACCAGUAGCGAAGGCGGCACUCUGGCCGGUACUGACGCUGAGGAGCGAAAGCGUGGGA